rnacentral:rRNA from 1 species
AGUCUGACCUGCCCACUGAAUAAAGUUUGAAGGGCCGCAGUAUUUUGACUGUGCAAAGGUAGCAUAAUCAUUAGUCUUUUAAUUGAAGGCUGGUAUGAAUGGUUGGAUGAGGUACAAGCUGUGUCAUAAAAAUUAAAAUUUGAAUUUAACUUUUUAGUCAAAAGGCUAAAAUAAUUUUAAAAGACGAGAAGACCCUAUAGAGCUUUAUAUAAUAAAUAUUUAAAUUAUUAAGAUUUUUAAAAUUUAAUUUUAAUAUUAUAUUUUGUUGGGGUGACAAUAAAAUUUAUAAAACUUUUAUUUAUAUUUAACAUUAAUUUAUGAUUACAUGAUCCAGUUUUAUUGAUUAUAAAUUUAAGUUACCUUAGGGAUAACAGCGUAAUUUUUUUUGAGAGUUCUUAUCGACAAAAAAGAUUGCGACCUCGAUGUUGGAUUAAGAGUAAUUUUGGGUGUAGAAGUUCAAAGUUUAAGUCUGUUCGACUUUUAAAUUCUUACAU